GAUGAACGCUGGCGGCGUGCCUAAUACAUGCAAGUCGAGCGAACAGACGAGGAGCUUGCUCCUCUGACGUUAGCGGCGGACGUGUGAGUAACACGUGGAUAACCUACCUAUAAGACUGGGAUAACUUCGGGAAACCGGAGCUCAUACCGGAUAAUAUAUUGAACCGCAUGGUUCAAUAGUGAAAGACGGUUUUGCUGUCACUUAUAGAUGGAUCCGCGCCGCAUUAGCUAGUUGGUAAGGUAACAGCUUACCAAGGCAACGAUGCGUAGCCGACCUGAGAGGGUGAUCGGCCACCCUGGAGCGGAGACACGGUCCAGACGCCUACGGGAGGCAGCAGUAGGGAAUCUUCCGCAAUGGGCGAAAGCCUGACGGAGCAACGCCGCGUGAGUGAUGAAGGUCUUCGGAUCGUAAAGCUCUGUUAUUAGGGAAGAACAAAUGUGUAAGUAACUAUGCACGUCUUGACGGUAACUAAUCAGAAAGCCACGGCUAACUACGUG
rnacentral:rRNA from 1 species